UACGUAGGGUGCGAGCGUUAAUCGGAAUUACUGGGCGUAAAGCGUGCGCAGGCGGUGAUGUAAGACAGAUGUGAAAAUCCCCCGGGCUCAACCUGGGAACUGCAUUUGUGACUGCAUCGCUGGAGUGCGGCAGAGGGGGGAUGGAAUUCCGCGUGUAGCAGUGAAAUGCGUAGAUAUGCGGAGGAACACCGGUGGCGAAGGCAAUCCCCUGGGCCUGCACUGACGCUCAUGCACGAAAGC
rnacentral:rRNA from 1 species